CCUACGGGAGACAGCAGUGAGGAAUAUUGGUCAAUGGGCGCGAGCCUGAACCAGCCAAGUAGCGUGAAGGAUGACUGCCCUACGGGUUGUAAACUUCUUUUAUAAAGGAAUAAAGUGAGGCACGUGUGCCGUGUUGUAUGUACGUUAUGAAUAAGGAUCGGCUAACUCCGUGCCAGCAGCCGCGGUAAUACGGAGGAUCCGAGCGUUAUCCGGAUUGAUUUGGUUUAAAGGGAGCGUAGAGGGGUUGUUAAGUCAGGUGGGAAAGUUUGCGGCUCAACCGUAAAAUUGCAAGGGAUACUGGCAGUCUUGCGUUCAGUUGCGGUAGGCGGACUUCGUUUUGUAGCGG
rnacentral:rRNA from 1 species